rnacentral:lncRNA from 1 species
AUAAUUAAAAUAAAAUAUUAGCAUUAAAUAAAAUAUGAAAAUAAAAAUUAAAUAAAUUAAAUAAAACAUUAAGGAAAGUAAAAAAUAUUUUUUGGUAUUUUUAUGAAUAAAUAAAAUAUUUUUAUUAAUUAAAAACAAAACAGAAUAAAAUAAGAAUAAAAAAAUGAAAAAGAAAAUAAAUGAAUUGUGAAUGGGCCAGUUUGGGUGGGGG